ACUCCUAUUACAGUUUGAAACAUUGCCGCUCAGGUCGCAAUACUCACCUGCAUGUGACAUUUAUGAAUGUUUUCCAACCGUGUCCACUAGGUCUCAGGAACAAGGGAAAGGAAGGCACCAAAGGUAAAGCUAAGAGUUCAGGUCUGAAUAUCUGCUUUUCUAGAUCUUAGAAAAUUGUGGUCUAAAUAGUGUGUUAUGUAUAAUAUAUAAUGAAGUCUGUUGAGGAUCUCCCCACAUGGGGGAUUGGUUUAGGGGACUGGGUGAUGAGUUGUGCUUAUGCAGUAUCUUUUUAUUUAUGUAUUUAUUUUUUAUUUUUAAAACAAUUUAUUUUAUUUUAUUUAUUUAUUUUUGACUGUGUUGGGUCUUCGUUGCUGCGUGUGGACUUUCUCUAGUUGUGGCAAGCGGGGGCUACUCUUCGUUGAGGUGCGCGGGCUUCUCACUGCGGUGGCUUCUCUUGUUGCGAAGCAUGGGCUCUAGGUGCGUGGGCUUCAGUAGUUCUGGCACACGGGUUCAGUAGUUGUGGCUCACGGGCUGUAGAGCUCAGGCUCAGUAGUUGUGGUGCACGGGCUUAGUUGCUCCGUGGCAUGUGGGAUCUUCCUGGACCAGGGCUCAAACCCGUGUACCCUGCAUUGGCAGGCGGAUUCUUAACCACUGUGCCACCAGGGAAGCCCUACAGUAUCUUUAAGUACAUUUUUUUUUUACUGUAUCAAAAUAUCACAGUGAAUUAUGUCUACUGGCAGAAAUUCUAGAAAUCCCAAAAUAGAUUCAGCUGGGCUUCCAUUGUCCUCCCCAAUAUGGCGCAACCGUACCUGUUCAGCCUUCUCUUUCUCUCUCUCUCUCUCUCUCUCUCUCUCUCUCUCUCUCUGUCUCGUCUACUCUAUGCUUCAUUUGUUUAAACAGUCUGGUCAAAACAGGAUUACUUAUCUUACUGGAGACAUGAGUUUACACGUUACCAUUUCUGUUUGUUAACUCGUGCUAUUCUCUGUCUUCACCCUUCUCUGGUCCCCACCUGAGUCUUCGUUUUUCCAAAUUCUACCUUUCGAAGGUUCAAGGUCAUCUCUGCCGUGAAGUUGUCUUUGAUCACAUGGACAAAGUAUGAUCCCUGGUCUGAGAAGCUUAAAAUCCUGAGGCUAAUUUUAAUAACAUUUUUGUAAUAUUUUAAGGUUUACAGGCUCUUUCCGUCCUCUCUACAUCAUUUUAUCCUUACAAUGACACUGUGAAAUGCAUUGUCCCAACAUCUCAGUUUAUCCUGAUCACCUCAUGUUGUUGCUUCCUUUGGCCAAGGUGGAAGAACGUGAUUUAAAACUGUCCUGACUGCAGAUGUAAAAACUUGUCUUCUGAUCCCUAGUUCCUUCCUUUAAGCGGUCCAGUCUCUUCUUAAGCUAAGUGACUUUUAAUAAAUGCCCUAGAUAUGUGCCUUCUUCAGGCUAAGUGUAGUCUGGUAACAUUUUGCCUCAUUUUGUAUGCGUUAUUAAUGGGACAAGCACAGUUCAGGACUUACGAAGUCCCUAGUAAAUCAGUAUAUCUCCUUUACACGCUGCACCUUAGCCGAUACACUGAAAAUUCGGUAAAUGCUGGACUAUUUGAGGAUGAGUUAGAAACACUGAUAUAAGGCAGUGUUGUGCCCUUCAAGGCUCCUUGAUCUGUUUACAUUGAUAUUAAUAGAUGGUUCUGGGCUUCAGUCACAGGCCUGAAUAAUUCAGGUCAAACUGACCUGCUGCACUGCUUUAAAAAACUAUAAAAUAUUCUGGGAAAUAUUUUAGAUGGGUGAUAUAUGCAAGUUAUAGAAAAAGUUCAGAAGUCCACAGAAAAUUAAGAAACUGUCUGAACUACAGUGGUGUAGAAAUAAUUAGAGUCAAUAUAAUAAAUCAGCUUGUUCUUAAAUUAUUCCAUUUGGAUUAGUGUCCGAAGGGAUUGUUUUAUUAAUAACAGCCUAUGGCAGAAUCAUGGAAAAUACUACCAGUUUUUCAUAUUUACUCUCUUUCUGAGAUGGGUAGACGAAUCAUUUUUAUCUGUCGGGCAAACUCCUAAAACAGUGGGUUCAAUGUAUUCUUUAAAUUAAUAUAUUGCAUAACUGAAAAGUAUAAGUAUUAUGAAAUUGUAUAAUAUUAGAAAUUAGCUAGUUGAGGCUAUAAUGAACACCUGAUGGUAUUUUAUGGUAUUUUAUGGUAUUUUGGGCACUGGCGUGAGUUACAUGCCUCAAACCUGUCUGUAACUUUGUUUCCUACAGUAUAAGGAGUGAAACAGCAGUGAUACAUUAGACAGUAGUCUACUGCCGCUGGAAGUCUUUGGAAAUUAUUCUAGAGCCCUUUCCAGCAGCCUUACCUACUGGGAAUUUACCUGCAAGGGAAUUGAAGUGAACCCCAAAACCUGCUCAUUCGCUAAAGACUAGAGGUUUCCACUUCACAGGGCCUUAUUUCUCCUCUUGUUGCUGUUUUUUUUUAAUCCAAAUAAAUAUCAAAAUGCAUUUAUUAAACGUGUUGGGGGCAUGUUGCCAAAUCAGAUGCUACUGUACGUGAGGAAACUGUGGAGUAUGGUCACACCAUCUGGCACUGUGAGUGAGUUUUGGAAUGCUGUGGAAACUUCAAAGAAAAAUUUAGGAGAUUUUGUGUAUAAUUUUCUUAAACGUAUUUCCAGGAGACCCGUGAUCUAGCAAACUCAUUCUGUAGGGUUUCAACAGACAUUUCAAUGAUUUUUUUUUUUAUACACCCAGAUAGUGCUUUGUGAAAAAUAUAAUGCUUGUCUCUUAGCUUUUAAUGACUCAUUAAUUUUGUGUAAAAUAGAGCAUAUGCUACAUCAUAAUUUUAGUUCUUAUCUUAAUGAGGGAGCAAAGCAAAGCGCCUCUCAGUUUGAAGUUAGGGAAACUGAAGUACGUCCAUAAUACGUGUGUGUUUGUGAUGUUACAGGUAUAAUCAGGAAAGGAAGCAGAGCACUUCUACACGUGCUUAUGACAUCUAACUACUAAGCUAGGAUAAAAAAAUUAUAACUCACAGGAAGUGAGUCAAAGGCACCUCAAAUGUAAAAUGCAUUGCUCUGUGUAUUCCUGUGUCUGUUAAUGCCUUUUUUCCUCAACAUUGGAGGAGUCAAGUCAAUUCAGAUUUUAGUUUGGUGAGCUGAAGGCACUGUGUUAGUUUGCAGACUGAGAACCCUCAUUGUCACAGUUUUCAGUGACCUGAUUUAUAUGAUGUUGACCUGGGAGCAAUACCAAGGUGAAACUGAAACCAUUACUAGCUAUUUUCGCUGUUAUUUUUAAAAUUAAGUAUCAGAGAAGCAGAGGUUUCCAAAAUACGAUUAAAACAAGAUUACACUUAUUUGGAUGUUACCGACAUAUUAAUACACCUUCCAACUCAGAUACAUAAAGCUUGUGCUCUAUAAAGUUGUUUAAUUAUUUCAGGUUCAAGUCUUUUUAUAACCAGUAGCCAUGGACUAUUUUUCAAGGGCAAGGAUGAGUCUGAAAUACGGAAUUUACUGACCAAUGAUGCCAUUCAAGUGUCCUUCUCAUUCUGUGUUUCAUGUGUUCUGUUCCAUACCCAUUUUUGAUAGUGUAGCAACAGAUAUUACAUUAAAAAAAUCAUUCUAAGAAUUCCUGCUAGCUCUUUUCUCAGCCAUUCACGUGUAAAUUGGGAAGGGAAUUUGAGUAAGUAAAUUAAUACCUAUCCUACCUGUUUUUAAAAGUUAUGUUAAUGGAAGAGUCAAAUAUGAUGACUGUUUCUUAAUUUCAAGUGUUCUGUUGAAACCAGUUUAGCUUGGAAGAGAUAGAAAGAUUCAGAAUGUUCACAUGUUAUAUUACAAUAUAAGUAUUUCAUGAGAAUUGGUAAAUAUGGUCAGACUCUGAGAAAAAUGAAAGGGAAUCGGAUAAUUUGGAGUGUAUUUGAUCUACUUAUAACUUAUACCUCAAACCCUAAAUUAAUACACAGAAAAAGCAAAGUCAUCAAUUUUAGAUUAAAUAAAUUAUUUCAGGUAUAUAUGAUGGAAAAGUAUAUAAGCUUCUCUGUUUCUCACUUAUAAUCGACAUCGUUUUCAUUCAACUGAACAGUUGCUGAUUGAGGACUUAAAGACAGUUCAGCUGAUGGGAUACCGUUCGUUGUGAUUUAGGCUGUAAAUAUUGUGAAGAAUUAGGUGCAAUAAACAUUCAAGUACAUGUGAAUUUUGGACCCCAGUUUUACGUCCUGAAGACUUUGGUAGAAAUAGUAAAGUGUCAAAUGCCAAGAAUAUACCAUUGGAAUAUAUAUUUUUCUGUACAGUAUUCCAAAGAAGCAGAUAAAUUGACAACUCUAGUCCUUGCUUCUAUGAUCAAUUCCAGUUUCCAUUAUCUUCUUGUAGUUGUUCGUAGGUGUAACUUGACUAUGCUAUACCUACAUAGUUUGGCCACAGACUCUGGAGCCAGACUGCCUGGGUUGGACUCCCAGCUGUAGUUACUAGUUCUGUGACUUGUUACUAAUUACUAGUUACCAGUUACUAGUUCUGUGACAGGCUAAACAGAUCACUUUUCUAUGCCUCAGUUUCCUACCUGUACAAAGGCAAUGAUAGUAGUACCUACCUCAUGGGGUCGUUGAAAAGACUAACUGAAUUAAUACACUUAAAGCUCUAAGAAGAGAAUCUGAUCCAUGAUAUAUGCUCAGUGGCUAUUAGCUACUGGAGCUUUUCUUACUAUUAUGGCUAUUACAUUUCCAAGCAUUGGUUCCUUUCUUGAGAAUGAAGAUACUGUAGUUGAAAUAGAAGAACACUGAGAUGUAAGAACAUGUGUCCUACCCAAUGGUGAUAAAAAAAAAAAAACCUUUUAAGACAGGAGAUAAGCAAGCUAUGAUCUUAGAGGAAUGUUUCCACCGACCUAAGGACAUAAGAACAGAAAUGCUUAGUUUAAUGAAAGAGAAAGGGAGAAGACAUAUUUUAUUAUUGUGGCAAAUCAGAGCUCUGUUGGAUGCUUGUGAAGAGGGAUGGAGACCAUCUGGAGAAAACAAUUCCACUCCGCUGUGUGGACUGGGUCGAAGGACGGCUGAAUAGCUAGGGCAUGAAUGAUGUAGGCUGUUGACCAUAGCGUGUCACAGCCUUGUAAAGCAAACGGCAGGGGGCAGAGUGGUAGUUAAUGAGAGGUGGAAAUGGUUGUCAGACUUCAGUGCUCAGCUUUUAUGAUAUGGUUUUCCUUAUGAAAGAAAUAGACUGAUAACAUUUUGGUCCUUUCCACUCAUUUGAACGCAUUAGGACCUUACUAUUCUAAGUCCUUCCACUUCAUUUAUUCCAUCUGCAUAUUUCUUAUUCAUUGCUUUUGUACUAACGUUUUACUUGUGACCGUUACUACUGGUUGCUACCUUUUCUACUAAUUAACUAAUUAGCUCAAUUUUAAAAUUUACCUUAGGCAUAUUUUUUAAAGCACCAAAAUACAUUUUCUGUGGUGGCCUAGUUACCUAAUAACUGAAUAGUAGAGGAGUUUAAGCAUGUAUUGGAGCUAUUUUAUAAUUUUAAAAUGCAGAAAUUCUCAUUUAUUGAGUCUAUUUUAAUUCUCACUGAUUAGUUGAGUCUGUGUUUAAAAUAACUGCUCAGUACUACCUAUCCAAAGUGGUCCAUGUGUAUAGUUUGGAAUUAGGCAGGGGUGAAGGAAGAGAACCAGAACACAAAGACAAAUUAAUUUUUUUAUUAGCGAAAAUAUUUUCUUUUCCAUCAUAGUGAAUUAAAACAACGAACAUAGAAAUAAGCGCACAUUCUUCCUUUAUCAGUGUUAAGAGAGGUCCAGACAUGAGAACCAUCCUGUAAGAAUCUGCAGAAUUUCAAAAGGACACCUAGGAUUAUAUUGAAUUUUUCAGAGUUCAGGGAAAGUUAAAAGUCUGACCUGUAAGUAGGCUGCGCUCUUGCUUUCUUUCCGUAAUAUUAUUACUAUUUUCUCCAGGUAUUAUGAAUCAUAAAGCUAAAUUUUUGACCUCACUAAGAGAGUAUACAUUUAACCUUUUAAGUUUCAUUGAUAUGGGUGAGUUAUUUUAGCCAUUUAUGGUCCGUGCUGCUUUUGAGUAGAUAGAGAGUGAAGAAAAUAAAGUAUUUUUAAGAUCCCCCAUGUUCACAGUGACUGAGAUUCCUUCAAAGAAAAAAGUUUCUGCAGCAAGAGCUGAGCAAACCUGUGUGUCAGAGCACCUUCCAAAACCUGAAUUGAGCCUUGUAUCUUAAAAAGCAGUAUUUUUAAAAUAAGUCUUAAGGGGGAUGAAGAGCUGAGCUGCGGUGGAUGCUGUUCCAGUUGUCUCUUCAAUCAAUUUUGUAUAAUGCUUUGGAAGCAGAAUAACAAGUAAUGUGAAAUCACGUUUCAAGAGACUAUACGUGCGCCCUCUUCAUUCUAUUUCCGUAUUCCUUGGGAUGGGCAAUUUAUGCAACGCACUUGUGAGACUCCAAGAACAAAUACCAAUUUUCCUGAAGGGUAUGAGCACUCUUGGAUUUUACAAAUGCCAAAAAACACAAAAAAAAUUAUUUUCAUGUUGUCACGUUGAGAUGAUGAAGUGUGCCGGGUUCGUGCACAAGGAGCCUCAGGAAGUAUGCCCGCUGUGCAUCUGUUUUAUUCCCAGAUUCAGAAAGUGGAUGCAGGCAGUUCUUAACAAGCAUUGACAAGUAGUGAUUAACAGUGAGCGCUGUGGAAGAUAGAGGAAGGGUUUGGCAUCAUUCUGAACAGGAGUGUCUUUUUAUUCCUGAGGAAACAGGUAUCCAACUGAUCUGUGAGGAUCCUCGGUCUAGGUUUCCAGAUCGGGUCUUGAAUCUCUGUGUCGCUGGACUGAACCACCUGUUCUCUUCAAAUGGAAGUGAGGAAAAGGUCAAGUAAGGACAAUGUAUUAAUCCUUCUGGCACCUCCUAGCCGGGCUGCUUGUUCUGUUGUACUUUGGGGAGACGUGUAGGGCUGAGAGUAGAAAUGCCACCUCUUUGGACCCCCGCAUGUGACUCGACCCGUGACUGUGGCCUCCGAGCCUAUGGUAGCCAGACAGGAGCCUCUGAAGUUCAAAAGCAGGCCUGUAUCUUUGCUUGUCUGUUUGUUCCUUGAAUGCUUACGUGGGUUUGUUUAUUCUUCAAGGCACCAAGGGUGCCUUAUGGGCAAGCUAGUUCCCUCAUGACGUGGGUAGAAACAGUGUUUGUGUUUAACACGUUCAUAGCCACCUGACAGACAGUCAAAUGUGGAAAUCCACAGAUUGCAAGAAACACAGGUCCUUUUCAGCUUUCCUGUCUUUACGCGACAUCUCACCUGAGUGAACAGAACACAGAGACUGGUUGCUGACGGUCUCCAUGUGCCCCCCCUCAGGUGCCCCUGCCUUCGGGGGCACAGUCCUGCUUCAACUUGUUUCUGUCACAUUCCAGACUGAGGGCAGAGUUCUCAAAUGUGCACGCACAAACCCUUGCCCACUGGUCGCAUUAGAUAAAGCUGUAAAUGCUCUUGUGUGCCUGCGUAUAAACCGCCAGGAGAAAGGGGCUGGUACGGAACUAAGCCCUGAUACAAUUUCCGCCAGAAACAAAACAUUGUGGUCUCAGUAUUUUAGGCAGAAAGGUGCUUUUGCCCCUUUCGCUAAAGCUUGGGACCCCAUUAUAAGAUCACAGAGGAAAAUGAGACAGGAAAGGGUUUGAGAUCCUAAACCCUUGUCUGUUAGACCUGCGUGCGGAAAAUGAGGGCUGGUUUGAAAGUUUUCAUUUCUUUCAUUAGCUUAAUGGCUGAGAUGCUACUCUUCAUCUCUGGCUGCUCAGAAGCCAGCAGGCUUAUUCAGAUAUAUCCAACUAUCGGAGUCACCUCAUUCUAUGACUACAUUUAACAGGCAAAAAAAAAAAAAAAAAGAAGGAGGGGAGAAUAAAAAUGCAAGAACCUAAACUGGGACUAUAAGAAUGCUUUUAGGUCAGCUAGUGUGAAGUUUUCAUUAUAACUUCACAGAUGGUCCAAACAGAUGAAGGGGAGAAAGGAUGGCUACAGAGAUCUGGCAGUCGGCCACCCGUUUUAAUGGUGUUUUCAUUCAUUCAUUCAGCUUUGGAGGGAAAAUGGAGUGAGGAUGAGAAUGAGCCUGGCUAUCUCCCUUGAUCAUCUUCCUGAGAGAUGUACCCGUCUGUGGUGAACAGGAAGAACUUUGCUGGUAAAAUCAGUGUCGGCGGACCGUGUUCAGAUGGGUGGUGAUCACGGCGAUCAUCUUUCUUAAGGUCUUCAGUGGGUUUGGCUGCCUUUUAAAGAAUGGAUUAAUAAAACCUUUCAGCUGUGGGGGGAAAAGAGAGACGCUUACAAUCUCGUAGAGGACACAUGCGUGUAAGUAAAUCAGGGCAGCAGAGUGAGAGGCCUGCGGUAAAGAGAAGAACGCACGGAUGCAAUAGAGAUAACAGGAUGCACGAGUGCAGCAGAGACGGACAGGAUGCAGGGAUGCGGCCGAGAGGAGCAGGUGGUAGAGCACGAAGGAUUGCCGUGUGUUGAGGAGGAGGUUGGGGCGAGUGAAGGGUUAGCCCACUUAAGACGCUCCUUCUUCCCAUUCGGUUUCACUCCGUUAUCUGUGUAGCUGCUGCAAAGCAAACAGAGCGGGAAUUGCAACGUCAAGCCACGGCUCCACCAGCGGCUCCUCGUCCUGCACACCUUCCCUGCCGGCUGGAACGCUUGCCCUCGAGCGUGGAGUGUGAGGCUCGUCGUAGAACGGCUCACCUGCCCACACUUUUCUGUCGCACUGCCCUCCAAACAGCCCUUCCUGCUAGCCAGAAGGGUGAGAACAAGGUGUGCUGUCGACACUCUGAGGCUUUUCCUUGCUCCCGGAUGCCCUCCGAGCCCACCUGCUCCACCUGUGACAUGUCUCAAGAUUCCACUGAAAUGGUGGAGGACAAAUGUAUGGACGCCAAAGGGGAAGGUGGUGGGAUGGGCGGAAUCAGGAGACUGGGAUGGACACACAUACGUUAUUGAUACUAUGUAUGAAAUGGACAACUGAUGGGAACACACUGCGUAGCACAGGGAACUCUACCUAAUGCACUGUGGUGACCUAAAUGGGAGGGACGUCCAAAAGGGAGGGGAUAUCUGUACAUGUAUGGCUGAUUCAUUUUGUUGUGCAGUGGAGGCUAACACAACAUUGUAAAGCAACCAUACUCCAGUAAAAAUUAAUUUAAAAAUUUAUUAAAAAGAGCAAAAAAAAAAAAAAUUCCGCUGAAAUGGAAUAGCCUCUAUGAAGCCUUCCUGGAUGUCACCUUCCAUCUGGGCACAUUACCACAUCCAAGGCCAAGGGCAGCUGCGUCAGACAGCUGGGAAGAGUAGGCAUUUCUGAGGAGUAUGAACCUAGUCUGCAGGUUUGGAAAACAGUACCAAAAACUAAAUACCAUCAGUCAAGACUGUGCGUCAACUUGGAGUAACUGUAGUCGGAGAUCCCCAUUCCUGGAGCAAAGACGUGACAGACCUGUCAUAGAUCAGUGUAAACAAGGAGACAGAACAGGACCAGAGCCCGGAGAAUAAAAGAAGAGGAAGGUUGGUACCGGAUCAAAACAUAUCCCUCUUCGGCCUGAAGUUUAACCUGGGAAUUAAGUUCUGGACUAUACUAUGCUUAUGACUACGUGUUAAUUGUGUAUAUAUACAAUUUAUAUAUUUAUCUUAGUAAACUAUAUAAAGUUUA